AACGAACGCUGGCGGCAGGCUUAACACAUGCAAGUCGAACGAGAUCUUCGGAUCUAGUGGCAGACGGGUGAGGAACACGUGGGAACAUCCCUUUCAGUUCGGAAUAACGUUGGGAAACUAACGCUAAUACCGGAUACGUCCUUCGGGAGAAAGAUUUAUCGCUGAAAGAUUGGCCCGCGUCUGAUUAGCUAGUUGGUGAGGUAAUGGCUCACCAAGGCUACGAUCAGUAGCUGAUCUGAGAGGAUGAUCAGCCACAUUGGGACUGAGACACGGCCCAAACUCCUACGGUAGGCAGCAGUGGGGAAUAUUGGACCAUGGGCGUAAGCCUGAUCCAGCCAUGCCGCGUGAGUGAUGACGGCCUUCGGGUUGUAAAGCUCUUUUGUCCGGGAAGAUAAUGACUGUACCGGAAGAAUAAGCCCCGGCAAACUUCGUGCCAGCCGCCGCAGUAA
rnacentral:rRNA from 1 species